rnacentral:lncRNA from 1 species
CAUUCUUAAUGCUCUAUAUCACACUUGAAUACAACUUAAAUUGUCUAAAACAUGACGACUAAUUAUGGCUUACCCAAAUUAUUAUUAAAUUGACAUAAAUGAAUAAUAUAUUUAGAACCAUUUCAUUAAAAUGUAUGUGGGAGGGUAGGAAGGGUCUCUCAAAAUAUUCCUACUACCAAGAAUACCAAGAACUAUUAUUAAAGAUAAUUUUGCAUAAUGGUUACAGAUGCAUGCUGAAAAAAACACCUGUAACCCACAUCAAAUUAUUUCCCUUCCCAAAUACAUUUUAAUAGAAUAAAUAGCCUUAUAGCAAGUUAUAAAAACUUUUGUACCAAUCAAAUGAAUAAAAACAAG